CUCCCGCCGGCGACCGGCGCACGGGUGAGUAACACGUAUGAAACCUACCCGUAGCAGGGGGAUAAGCGGAAGAAAUUCCGUCUAAUACCGCGUAACAACCCAUGGAGGCAUCUCUGUGGGUUUAAAGGAAGCGAUUCCGGCUACGGAUGGUCAUGCGUCGCAUUAGCUUGUUGGCGGGGUAACGGCCCACCAAGGCGACGAUGCGUAGGGGUUCUGAGAGGAAGGUCCCCCACACUGGUACUGAGACACGGACCAGACUCCUACGGAAGGCAGCAG
rnacentral:rRNA from 1 species